rnacentral:rRNA from 1 species
GAAGCAGCCCCGCGAGGGUGAGCAAACCACAGAAACGGCGUCCCAGUUCGGAUUGCAGCCUGCAACUCGGCUGCAUGAAGCUGGAAUCGCUAGUAAUCGCGGAUCAGAAUGCCGCGGUGAAUACGUUCCCGGGUCUUGUACACACCGCCCGUCACACCAUGGGAGUCGGGAAUGCCCGAAGUCAGUGACCCAACCGAAAGGGGGGAGCUGCCGAAGGCAGGCCUGGUAACUGGGGUGAAGUCGUAACAAGGUACC